AUGUCCUCAUGCUCCACUUCUCAACAGUUCAAGGAAAGUAACUCAGCCAUGACACCUCCAAGCCAUCUAGGACAUUCCCUAUACAUCUGCCCACAGGAGCAACCACAUGAGUCAAGGAAGUCACAUGUUGGCCAUGUACCAAGACCAACCAAGCAUUUUCAACGUGCCCGCUCCCACUGGCACCAGGCACCACACAGGCCUGGGGAUGCAAAGGUCCAUCAGUCCCCAAGGGGUCCCCCCAAGGUCCUCUUCCAGCACCUUCAGCCUGUCUCCUACAGCCUCAGCCAUGCCUGCAAAGACCCCAGCAACUUCAUCCCGUGCAGAAUGGGGCCACUGUGAGACCAAGGACUUACAUGCUCAAGGAACCAAGGAGUGUUUUCAGCCUGACUGAUGGAAGACCAAGAGAAGAAGAAUAUCACAUACAUGAGUUUUCCAAAAUUAAAAUGGAGAAUAGGGCCUUUGGGAAGGCUGUCUGGAUAAUUAAAGCAUUAAUUCAGCCUCUGGUUUGCCUGAGAGCAACAGGCUUCUGAGAGCUCCAUUAAAUCUCUCCCAAUAAAUACUGAUGGCUCUGAGGCGGUCUUCCGGCC
rnacentral:lncRNA from 1 species